UAUGGAUGGCCGUGGCGUUAUCUCCUGAUCUCCCGGAUUAUUCUGCCGGCGACAGCUAAAACAACGAAUUCAAGAUACACAACUAACCUGACGUUGGCAGAGAUGAUGAUGGCAACAUCAUCGUCCACCUUCUACAUCUCAUCAUCGAGACCAGUAUAAACUAGGCGUUCAAGAGCACGUGGCCAGAAACGGCUCAAGUCGCUCGAUGAGGAUGAGAAGAUUUGGUGGCCGGCGACUCGACGACGCCAUGCUACUCAUGGCCGGCGGCCGGCUGCUCAACAACAUCACACAAGACUUGACCGGCGGCAGACCGACGACAUCCUCACGCAACGCACUAUGUGUCUCCUAAUGAUCACCGUGCAUGGAUUAGUAGAUCGGCUACUCCAAUCACAAGUGCACACACCUCGUGCUUGGUGAUUCAAUGGAUAUACAUAGUAGAUAUAUUUAUUUUCGUGAUGUCUAGUGUACAAAUCUAUAUGGAACGUACAUUACAUGAAGAUGUAGAAACAAAGGGCACAUGCACUCUCGGCUAAUUUUCUUACUAGGUGUACUUAUUUUUGCUAAGAUGAAACUUUGGUCUAUUACUUCUGUAAUAUAAUUAAGAAGUAUGUAUACCUUUUACCA